rnacentral:rRNA from 1 species
AUACGGAGGGAGCGAGCGUUAAUCGGAAUUACUGGGCGUAAAGCGCGCGUAGGCGGCUUUGUAAGUCGGAUGUGAAAGCCCUGGGCUCAACCCAGGAAUUGCAUUCGAUACUGCAGAACUAGAGUAUGGUAGAGGGAAGUGGAAUUUCCGGUGUAGCGGUGAAAUGCGUAGAUAUCGGAAGGAACACCAGUGGCGAAGGCGACUUCCUGGGCCAAUACUGACGCUGAGGUGCGAAAGCGUGGGGAGCAAACAGGAAUAGAAACCCCAGUAGUCC